UCCCUGAUGGCCUAGCAGUUAAGGAUCCAGCAUUGCCACUGCUGUGGCUCUGGUUCAAUUCCUGGCCUGGGAA
rnacentral:tRNA from 1 species